CCCGCUGAGUUUAAGCAUAUCAAUAAG
rnacentral:rRNA from 1 species